rnacentral:rRNA from 1 species
AUGAGUGAUUUCGGUAUGGCACCAACAGAUGUUGGCCUAACUCCUAAAUUUGAACGUGCGGGCAAUCUGGAUGCUAAAACUUUUAUCUUGGGGCAAGGGAAUGUUAUGGGAAAAGAACGUAUUCACGAAUUUUUCAGUUGUGUUGGAAAUCUAAGUCUUGAUGAUGCUCCUAUACUUAAAACUACUAGAUCUUACGUGGAUGCUAUUUCAGCACUAGUUCUGAAACUUGAAAGUAAAUUUAUUUGUACUCAUCCUACUUUUCAAAGAUUGUUUUUUGAGCUCCCCGACAUAAAAAAUCCUAGGGCCAAAAAGUUGGCCACUCUCGUUCUUAUAAAUGAAUUUGACUACGUAAUACGGGAAGCUAGGGAAAUCUUUGAGUUUUAUGGUUUGAAUCGUGAAAACCCCAUGAUAGAUGAAAUUCUUUACAAUAGUGAUUAUGCACUAAGGCAUUUGCUUUGGGAUAAUAAGAUCUUUGAUGAGAAUCUUAAAAAAGAAGUCCCCCGUUCUAGAUAUAAUCCAACAAGUUUUUAA